rnacentral:ncRNA from 1 species
GUCGGGAGGGCGGCAGCGAUACAAGACCCUUUGGGGAAAGCUGCCCGCCGUCUGUUUCCGGUUGUUAACCUCCCGACACCCACGA